GACCUGGUAGCACAUGGUCGUGCAUCCGCUGUCAUUGUAGGUCUACUUCAUCAGAUGUUGAAGCGGAGGAUCCCGGUUCGAGUCCGGGUCAGGUCC